rnacentral:rRNA from 1 species
UACCCCGAUACAUAAACCCGCUCACCUCAGUUUCAAAUAGAACUGCCGUUCAAAUGGGGGUGUGACAAAACGAUUAUUUUUACAUCGACCCGUUCACCUCACCUUCCAACCUGGUCGAGCUACGUAGACUCUUCGUGUGUGUUGACCUUGUUCACUCUCGUACGUAGCUGUAUAGUUUUUCCACGUCUGUUGUACUUGGUCUCUCAUCUGGACAAUGUGUCCUAUAGGAGCCAAGGGAACCACAACUGUGAAGAAGGAAUGGCCAUAGCCAUGUCGGCGUCCGUAGUUAGUGUCCGUACCUCAGUUACCACGUCCGGCUCGGUAGUAACCUCCCUCUUUGGCCGGCGUGCAGGUUCUACGAAGUUAGCCUUAGCAACGACUAACGGUUGUUGUUCGGGGCAGUGACCUCUACCUAUAGGGAGGGUCUAAGGUCCAAACGGUUCAUACGCCUCGAGGACUCACACAUGAAGGAGCGCUAGUCGCCUCUCCAGAGUGGUCGUCUGGAAACGCGGCCACGUUCGAUGUGGCAAAUGGAUCACAUGUUCGACCGCUCGUCGAGGACACCGAACUCUCCAAAGCACGUCUGCAGCAGCGAAUCCGAGGUGCCCCUCGUAUGGCAGCGGUGGUCGUUCCAAUCGGAGCCGGUCCUUCGCACGCGUAGCCUGUCGCUACAAUGGAUGGGACAGGGCUCCUCGCUACCGACCAACCUCGAAUUCGACCGCCUCAAGUGUUUACUACUGCUCUACGCUGUUCUCUUCCCCCACUAGCACCUAGAGGCACUCCUCUUGCAGCGGCACCUCUUCUCUCCUGAGUAGCACCUCCCGUACCUCAAGUCCUCGUUAAUCGACACGAGUACAGUAAACACCGGUACGAUAAGUCCCUAAACUAUACAUUAUUCGGGUCGAACCGUUUGUAUGUAAGUACAAUCAGAGUUUAGUGCAUUUAAAGAAUGACAAUUUGGUUUUCGUAAUACAAGAUGAACAUAAAAGAAUAUAAAUCUAAAAAAAAAGAACAUUCGUGUACUUGUGAACAAGUCUACUUGAACUUGUUAAAAAAGUUAUGUGUUUGUAGUAAAACAAAAUUCAAGAUGGUUGGUAAAGACAGUGUAUAUUCUUGUUUAAGG